GACGAACGCUGGCGGCGUGCUUAACACAUGCAAGUCGAACGGUAAGGCCCUUCGGGUACGACGAGUGGCGAACGGGUGGAGUAACACGUGGGUGAUCUGCCCUGCACUUCGGGAUAAGCCUGGGAAACUGGGUCUAAUACCGGAUAGGACCAUGGACUUCACGGUUUGUGGUGGAAAGCUUUUGCGGUGUGGGAUGGGCCCGCGGCCUAUCAGCUUGUUGGUGGGGUAAUGGCCUACCAAGGCGACGACGGGUAGCCGGCCUGAGAGGGUGUCCGGCCACACUGGGACUGAGAUACGGCCCAGACUCCUACGGGAGGCAGCAGUGGGGAAUAUUGCACAAUGGGCGCAAGCCUGAUGCAGCGACGCCGCGUGAGGGAUGACGGCCUCGGGUUGUAACCUACUUUCUAAUAGGACGAAGCGCAAGUGACGGUACCGUAUAGAAGAAG
rnacentral:rRNA from 1 species